UAAAAAGCUCGUAGUUGGAUCUGUGUAUCGGACGGCCGGUUCGCUGCUCGCAGCGUUUAACUGGUCGGUCCGGACGUCCUGCCGGUGGGCGUCCGCGCAAGCGGGCGUCCGUACAUCCCUCCGGGCUGCUCUUAACCGGGUGGCCCGGUGGGCCGGCACGUUUACUUUGAACAAAUUUGAGUGCUCAAAGCAGGCCUUUGGUUGCCUGAAAACUGUGUGCAUGGAAUAAUGGAAUAGGGCCUCGGUUCUAUUUUGUUGGCUUUUCUGAACUUGAGGUAAUGAUUAAUAGGGACAGACGGGGGCAUUCGUAUUGCGACGUUAGAGGUGAAAUUCUUGGAUCGUCGCAAGACGAACGGAUGCGAAAGCGUUUGCCAAGAAUGUUUUCGCUAAUCAAGAACGAAAGUUAGAGGUUCGAAGGCGAUCAGAUACCGCCCUAGUUCUAACCAUAAACGAUGCCAGCCAGCGAUGCGCCGAAGUUCCUCCGAUGACUCGGCGCGCAGCUUCCGGGAAACCAAAGCUUUUGGGUUCCGGGG
rnacentral:rRNA from 1 species